rnacentral:rRNA from 1 species
UACGAAGGGGGCUAGCGUUGCUCGGAAUCACUGGGCGUAAAGCGCACGUAGGCGGAUUGCUAAGUCAGGGGUGAAAUCCUGGGAGCUCAACUCCAGAACUGCCUUUGAUACUGGCGACCUUGAGUCCGGGAGAGGUGAGUGGAACUGCGAGUGUAGAGGUGAAAUUCGUAGAUAUUCGCAAGAACACCAGUGGCGAAGGCGGACUCA